rnacentral:lncRNA from 1 species
GGCGGCGGUGUCAAUGUCAGUGGCGCUGAAGCAAGCGUUGUGGGGGAGAAGGGCAGCGGCUGUAGGUGCCGUUUCUGUUUCCAAGGUUCCGACCAGGUAACAGGAUUGUGAAACUUCUUCCAGCUUCUCGGGUCUCUCCAGUUUUGCGGAGGUCUCUGCUGGCUGGGUCCUGGAGAAGGCCUCGGGGAAAACGUCCUCUGCUGACCCUUUCCCUGGUAGAGCGCGUUUGGAUUUGGGACAAGCUGCGAUCUAGGGGCGCUUGACCUGGCGAGUGAGGGUGUAACUGCGAAGAGUAGGGGGAGGAGGACCUCUGCUUUCUGGGAAACUUUUGGAUUGUUGCUGUGGGGAUGGAAUUGUCUCCGGAGCUGCAAGCUGAGCCCUAGCCCCCAGAGAAGGGGCGGAGUCUCACUCAUUUUUCUCCCACUUUCCGCACGCCUCCAUUUUUCACCUGUUUGCCCAUCACUUCAGUUUUUACGGGAGGGUUAAAUCACCCUCCCUUACACGCCUUUAAGUGGUAUUGAUUAGGUUUCUGAACUAAAGAUUGCUUUAUUUAUCAGGCUACUUGGGAAGAAAACUUAGUUGGAAUUCAACGUUAGUAAAACUAUCGCUGCUAUUACUGGAAGGUAAUUUUUAAAAGGCUGAGAGGUUUCCCAUUCAGAAUUUUUAAAGGCCCCAUCGUAAUUCAGAGAUUGUUGCUCAUUUAUUUGCCUUGAAGCAUUUUGAAGGUGAUUUCUUUUUCAACUGCAUUACUUAAUCCUUUAUUUCCUUAUUUUCCUAACUUUUCUGUCUUUAUUAUAGUACCUACACAGCAGCGUGUGCGCCGUUGCGCGCACGUACACACACACAUUCUAGCAGUUUUAUUUGCGAAGAAUUAUUUUUUCAUUGCUGCUUUUACAGCUUAAAAGUAUAAAUAUAAACCAAGGUUUAUAGUGCACCUUUUCCGCAUAUGUGCUUAGAACAGCGAUGGACUGCGUGGACAGCUGUGAAGGGAGGGAUGGGAGUGGUUAAAUGUUGCAAAGAGGGUCCAGUGAAAUGCUAGUUAGUUUAGUGUUAUGUUAACUGUAGAGGUAAUACAGAAAGGACUAGAGAGUUAAUUACAGAGGAUUUUUGGAGGUAAGUUUCAUUAGCGUUUUAAAUAGUGGAAGAUGGGUGGGAAAAAUGAUGUCCUGGAUGGGAUCAGUGGUUUAUGAAUAAAGUCUUGCAGGCAGUAAUAGAGAUAUACAUACUAUAGGGUUGUUGAAAAGAAUGCUAAGAUUGGGGAAAGGUAAAUGAAGGUAUUUCUGUAAGGUGAGUUACUCUACUGAUUGACGUAGGUCUAGAAUAGAUGUGACCCAGGUUAGUUCUUGUUCUAGAUUCUGUAGUGAUUAAUUUUGCAUUUCCAAGUAACAACAGAUUCACAGUAACCCUAGAACUGAGAACACAUUUGAAGGGUCCACUGGUGCAUGACUAUUUUAAACAUGACUGUGUAAGUCACAGCUGUUUUGUUAGCAAUUAAUAGUGGCUGAAAUUAAGAUACUAGAUUUUGGAAACUUUGGUGGUAAUUAGUACUACUUAUCCACAUUUAAAGAGUUUGCUUGCAAAUGUGUUAGAAGAGAUUUGAAAAUAAAAUUUAAACUUAUUCACACUUUUAAAAACUUAAAAGCCAAGGAAAACAAAUCGUAAACACAAAUCAAAUGACACAUUUAUUUGCUUUGUAUACCACUUUUUUACCCAAAGAACUUAUGUUCAUUUUACUUUGAGGGAAAUUUAUGGCACUUCUCUUUUACAUAUUGCUUGCUUUUUAUCCUUAAGCACUCUCUUUAUUAUUAUUUUUGGGAUUGCACCUGAGGCAUAUGGAAGUUCCUGGGCUGGGGAUCAAAUCUGAGCUGCAGCUGCGAUCUCCAUCACAGCUGUGAUAAUGCCAGAUCCUUAACCCACUGCACCACAGUGGGAACUCGUUAAACACUCUCUUCACAUUAUGAUUUGAGAGUAAUGAGGAUCUGAAAAGGUAGAGCUUGGAUAGAGAACCAAUUAGUGAGGAAAUCUACAUCCAAAAUUCAUUUUAUUGUAUUGUUUAGAAAAUAUUUGCAAAUGAUGUGACAUUUCAGAUCACUUGAGUGAAAUGAGGGGAAAUAGAAUCAGUAAGGCCCUUGGUAAGGAAGGGAGGGGUGAACAAAUAUAAAUAUUGAAGAAAAGAAACUAUCAGCAGAAGGGAAGAAGCAGCUAAAUGCUACAUUAACUUAGAUGGAUUUAACUGGAGUAAAGCAGUAAAAAACAAAAGAGCAAACCACAGAACUCAACUACAUGUACACAUAAGAGAGAGAAAAAAGUAUUUAAACAGUGUAGUUUAUUCAGCUGAUCUAGUUACUGAGCUCCUGCUCUAGAGCGAAUCUGUUUCCCUGGACUGCAGGAGAGGAGGGGUAAAACCGCAGAUAUAUGGCCUAGGUUUAUCUGUACUUUCCCUGACUUUCCUAAGGCAUUGUCCAGGGUAAGUUUAACUGUUUAGGAUAUUAAUCUCAAAGUGGCCUGGUGAUUAAGGACUCCAAGUUUUCAUUGCUGUGAGUCAGAUUUGAUCCCUGACCUUGGAACUUGUGCAUGCCAUGGGCAUGGCCAAAAAAAAAAAAAAAGGCACCAGAUAAAAUAGCAAUACGUAGGACAUUUGGUAGUGUUUGUGUUUUUGUUUUCUCUAACCUCGUCAUACAUACUUACCUCACCUAGCCCUGUUUCAUCAUUUCUCUUUUGGACUGAGUCUUGUGUUUACCUCCAACAUAGCUACUUAGGGUCGUCCGAGGGUGUUGAUUAAUGCUGGUGGGGACUAAGUGUAUGGGAUCUUUAUGUGAGGCCUAUUUUGUGCUCUGGUCUCUGGCUGUAUUCUGUUGCUCUGUUUCCUUUUUUAGUGUUAGAUAAGCCAGUAUGGAAUUAAGAGUGUGCAGCAACCUUCAGUGAGUACGAGGUCCUAAGUUUGACAAGAAAUGUGUGUAUGUUAAACCUUGCUAAGAAACUAUCUCAGCCCAAAUGUGAGAAACAUUUAGGACAUUAAAAACCAGUAGGUUGCCUUCUACUUCAGAUAAGCUGGAUAAACAAAUUCCUCUCUGAAGGGCAGCUACUUUUUGCUGUCUGGAACAUAUCAAGGCCAAGUUCUGUACGCUUGGAAUGUUUCUAAUGUGUUUUCUAAUAGACUUCAUUGCUUUGCUUAUUUUCCUCAUUGAAAUACCCAUAAUUAGUUGAUCUGUUUUCUUCAGUAGCAGACAUCUUUAUUGAAUUCCUGUUAGAAGAUUUAAGUACUUAAAAAAAUUAAAAAAACUUUUUAAAAUUUAUUUUUUCAUUAUAGCUGGUUUACAGUGUUCUGUCAAUUUUCUACUGUACAGAAUGUUGACCCAGUUACACAUACAUGUAUAGAUUUAUCAGAAGUGAAUAGACAUAGUUCCCAGUGCUCUACAGCAGGAUCUCAUUGCCCAUCCAUUCCAAAGGCAACAGUCUGCAUCUGUUACCCCAAGAUUUAAAUACUUUUAACACUAGUAAAUAUUAGAAUAGUGUCUGCUUCUUGGUAAACCUUACCAAAAUAAAUGCUAAAUUUAUUGUUUGUUUGAUUAGCCUGAAUAGUUUUCUUUUCUUUAAUCUUGGUGAUGAAUAUUGUUGUAGAUGGUGGUAUUAUUUACACUAUUAAUUUCCAUUCCCUGUUGACACAUACCACCCCACUGGGCAAGUGAUUUGUUAUGACCAAUGAAAUGUUAACCAGAAAUCAUAUGCCCUAUCUGAGCUGAAGCUCCAAGACUGUCCCAUGUUUUGCCAUGUCUUUUUUUUUUCCUCUGAUGUUCUGGGUAGGGUCUUUCAGACUAGAUCCUGGAAUGCAGAUAGUAGGGAGCAAAGCAAAGCUGAUUCUCUUUUUAAAAAUUUUUAAUUUUGGAGUUCCCGUUGUGGCUCAGUGGUUAAGCAAUCCGACUAGGAACCACGAGGCCAGGGAUAGAACCCUUGACCUCAUGGAUACUGGUCGGGUUCAUUAAACUGCUGAGCCACGAUGGGAACUCCCAAAAAGUCUUUAUCACCCCAAAAGACUCAGUCUCUACCUCUCUGGCAACAGUUUUUUUUUUUUUCUUCAUCUCAAUAGUUUUGUAGUUUUGAGACUUAAUGUGUAAGUGGAACCACAUGAUAUACAACCUUGUGGAGAUUGGUUUCUUUCACUCAGCAUAAUACCUUUGAGAUUCUUCCAAGUAUGUGAAUCAAUAAUUUAUUCCUUUUAUUGCUAACUAGUAUUCCAUUAUUUGAAUAUCCCAUAGUUUAUUUAUCCGUUUAUGCCUUGAAGGCCUUUUGAAUUAUUUCCAGUUUUUGACAUUUGUAAAUAGAGCCACUAUAAACAGUUAGGUAUGAGAUUUUAUGUGAACAUGUUUUCAUUUCUCUAGAGUAGAUACCUAGGAGGGAGAUUCUUAGGCCAUAGGUAAUGUAUGUUUAUAAGAUAUUCCAGAGUAGUUGUACCAUUUUGCUUUUCUACCAGCAAGAUACAGAAAUUUUAGUUGCUCUGUAUCCUUAUUAACGUUGGUAUUAUCAAUAUUUUUAAAUUUAGCCAUAUUAAUUGAUGUAUAUAUAAUAAUUCACUGUGUUUUUGAUGACUUUAUUGAGAUAUAAUUGCAAUAUAAUUCACUCACGUAAAAUUUAAGAGCUGAUGGUUUUUAGUAUAUUCAGAGUUGUGCAACCAUUCACAGUGGAUUUUGGAACAUAUUCAUCACUCCAAAAAGAAAUUCUGUGCCUGUUAGCCAUCACUUCCUGUUUCUCCCUUUCCCCAGCCCUAGGCAACCGUUAAUGUACUUUUUGUCUUUCAGAUUAGCUUACUCUGGAUAUUUCAUACGAAGGGAAUCAUAUGUGAUCUUUUGUGACUGGCUUCUUUUAGUGUUUUCAAGUUUAUCCAAGUUGUAGCAUGUAUCAGUACUUUAUUCUUUUUUAUUGAUGAAUAAUGUUCUGUUGAAUGGACAUAUCUCUUUAUCCAUAAGGUGAUAGACAUUGGUGCUAUUUCCACCUUUUAGCUAUUAUGAAUAGUGUUCUAUAAACAUUUGUGUACAAGUUUUUGUGUGACACUGGUUUUCAUUCUUUUAGGUAUAUACAGAGGAGUUGAAUUGUGGGAUAAUAUGAUAACUCUAUGUUUAGCUGUCUGAAUAACUCCCUGACUUUUUCCAAGUGGCUGCACAAUUUUGCAUUUCCACCAGCAGUGAAUGAGGUUUCUAGUGUCUUUGCAAAUCUUGCUAACACUUUUUAUUGCCAUCUUUAUUACAACCAUCCUAGUGAGUGUGAAGUGGUUUAUGAUGGUUUUGAUUUGCAUUUCCAUCAUGGGUAACUCAUUGUAGUUUUAAUAUGUAUUUCCCUAAUAGCUAAUGAUAUUGAGGUGCAAUGUCUGUUAUGUCUUUUGCCUAUUUUUAAUUGGGUUCUUUUUUUUUUAGGCCCGCAUUGAUGGCAUAUGAAAGUUCCUAGGCUAGGGGCUCUCAUCAGAGCUACAGCCACGGCAGUGGGCCAUCCAAGCCUCCAAUCCAUGUCUGUGACCCACACUGACGCUCAGGACAGCUUUGGAUCCUUAACCCACUGAACGACGCCAGGGAUCAAACCUUCAUCCUCAUGGAUUCUAGUCGGGUGUGUUCACUGCUGAGCCAUGAAGGGAGCUCUGGGUCCUUUAUUUUCUUAUUGUUGAGCUUUGAGAGUUCAUAAUAUAUUGUUAAUUGAAGUCCUAUUGCUAGAAAUGUAAUUUGCAAAUGUAUUUUCUCCCCAUCCAUAGCUUUUCUUUUUAUUCUUUCAACAGUAUCUUUCAGUGAGUUUUUUUUUUUAAGGUUUUAAGGUUUUUUUUUUAAGGUUUCUAUUCAUAUUUUAUUUUCCUUUUUUUUUUCUUUCUAAAGAUCAAGAGUUCUUAAUGUUGAUAAAGUUUGCUAGCUUUUUUCUCUUAUGGAUUGUACUUUCUGUUGUCAUAUUUAAGAAUCCCAUACCUAACCCCAAGGAAUGAAGUUUUUUUUUGGUAUUUUUUUCUUGAAGUUUUCAAAUAUUUUUUAUUCAUAUCUCUGAUUCAUUUGGAGUGAAUUUUUAUAUAAAAUAUGAGAUUUAAGUUGAGGUUAAUUUUUUUUGCAUUUGAAUGUACAUUUGUUCCAACAUAAUUUAUUAUAAAGACUCUCUUUGUACUGUUGAAUUGUUUUUUGUUUUAAAUUUGGUCAUUUUUAGCCGCCCUGUGGCGUAUAGAGUUCCCUGGCCAGGGUCAGAGCCACAGUCUCAACCUGACCCUCAGCUGGGGCAAUGCUAGAUCCCUAAACCACUGAGCUGGGGAUUGAACCUGCAUCUCAUUGGCUCCCAAGACACCACCAAUGCCAUUGUGCCACAGCAGGAGCUCCUCAUUGAAUUUUUUUGUCUGGAUGAUUUCCACCGACCUAAAUCCCUUUGCCAAUACUGCACAGUCUUGAUACUGUAGCUUUAUAGUUAAUGUGUUGUAAUUGAGUAGUUGUAGUUCUUCCAGUUUCUUUUUUUUUUUUUUUCAAAAAAAAUUUUUUUAGCUGUUCUAGUUCCUUCUAAAUUUUAGAAUCAUUUUAUUUAUAUCUCUGAAAAAUUCAGCCUGGAAUUUUUUUUUCUUUUUUUUAAAAAUCACUUAGAAGAAGUUCCUGUUGUGGUACAGUGGAAGUGAAUCUGACUAUCCAUGAGGACGUAGGUUUGAUCCCUGGCCUUGCUCCCUGGAUUAAGGAUCUGGUGUUGCUGUUGACCUGAGCUGUGGCUCAAAUUUGGCAUUACUGUGGCUGGCAGCUGCAGCUCAGAUUCGACCCUAGCCUGGGAACUUCCAUGAGCCAAGGAUGGGGCCCUAGAAAGCCAAAGAAUGAAAAUUAAAAAAAAA